ACGUAGGAGGCGAGCGUUGUUCGGAAUUACUGGGCGUAAAGCGUCCGUAGGCGGGUCUGUAAGUGGGUAGUUAAAUCCCGGGGCUCAACCCCGUGGGUGCUGCCCGGACUGCAGAUCUGGAGGUCGGCAGAGGGUGAUGGAAUUCCCGGUGUAGCGGUGAAAUGCGUAGAUAUCUGGAGGAACACCGGUGGCGAAGGCGGCAUCCUGGACCGAGAUUGACGCUGAGGCGCGAAAGCUAGGGUGGCAAACGGGA
rnacentral:rRNA from 1 species